AAUUGGAAACAUUGGCACAGUCAGCGGUAGCCACUACAGUUCACCACCAGAUGCAGCAGCCGCUACCGGACAAGGGGACUUUGCCACAUCUUCACCAAAUGCCAAGUCAACAAGUCAAAGUCCCUCGCCGAUUCCUUCCACUCAAGCUUCAGAUUCCCCUCAAGGAACUGGAGCCAUAGAAACUAUCAACGGAGUUGAUGAUAGCAACAAGCCUACCGUUGAUGGUUCAGGUCAAGUCAAGAGUGCAGCCGCUACCGGACAAGGGGAGGUCUCCACUUCUUCAUCAAUUGCUAAGUCAACAAGUCAAAGUCCCUCAACGAUUCCUUCCACACAAGCUUCAGAUUCCCCUGAAGGAGCUGAAGCCACAGAAACCAACCAAAGAGUCGAUGGAAGCAAGAAGCCUACUGUUGAUGCUCCAGGUAAAGUCAAGAGUGCAGACAUAAAAGCUGCUACUGGACA